UCUUGACCAUCACUCUCGGAUCGAGCUUCACAAAGGCAGAGCCGAUCGCCGGAACGACAAUCUUGGGGUCAAGCAUGGCCGAUACCGGCACCCGCUUUUGCAGCUUUAACGUUUCCAUAGACGUAACUCCGAAAUGAGAUCGAUCAGAACAGGGUGUUCGCAUUCAUCGCGAGAUGCUCGACGACCGCCCCCGGCGCGAGCGCGGGGAAGAACGUGAGGCCGCCGAUGAUGAGAAUCACGCCGA
rnacentral:misc_RNA from 1 species